GACAUCCGGGCGGCUGGGGAGCUCGCGGGAUGCACGCUCGGCGCGCCUGUCCCCACGCUGCCCACGGACGGCCUCGCGCACGGUCGCACGGUCACACAGACCGGCGCACACACCUGUCUGCUUGCACCAUGCAGCACGUGGCGCUCCCCGUAUGCAGUCUGCACCGGCACAUCUCUGCCAAUCUAAGUGCCCAUCCGAGUGUCUGCGGGUCAGGCUCGCAGAUGACCCCUCGCUCUUCCCUGACACACCCCCUCCGGAGCACAGGCCUUGGCAGUGGCCGUGGGGAAGAUGCACAGACGACAGGUGCCCCGGGGGAAGAGUGUGCAAGGCAGAGGGCAUAGUUAGUGCAAAGGCCCUGAGGGGGGGAGCCUGCGUGACCACUGGGGUGGCUGCGGGAGAACGGCAGAGGAUGAGGUGGGUUGGCCUCGGUGGCCACGAAGACGCGUUUAGACAAGGCAGUGGCCGGUCUCCCAGGUGAGCGCUGGGCCGCUGCCUGGUGAAUUGAAUGACUUAUUGUUCUCACAGUGGUUGCAGCUGCCGCCUCGGAAGUGACUCAGCGGAAUUCCUGGGAGCUGGGAGUGGGUGGGAGGGAUGCUCCAAACGGACUGGGGAGGGGGCGCUGCGCGGGCAACGCCCCCACCCCUUUGCUGGAACUGACCGCGGGGCACACCCACCCUCGAGUUCUCCACCCCACCCCCUCCUGGCCGGAGCAGGCACCUGCAGGGGGGCAUCCAGCAUCCUCCCACGUGCUUGUUGACCAUUCGUGCAUCUUCUUCGGAGAAACCCGUAUCCCUUUGAUGUGACCUCGUGGUUCUUGUGCACAAGAAGAUGUCCCAGCCCUGGAAUCACUUAUUCCUCCCGGGAGCCCUGACCGCUUUAGUGGAGAAAGGGGUAUGUAGGCAUGAGGUGUGGCUGCUCCCAGGACCCUCCGGGGACAGAGCUAGGAAGUACGUGUGUGUUCACACCACGCGCAACGUAUUUCUGUACAGUCAUGCAUCAAUUAACGACAGGGAUGCGUUCUGAGAAAGGCAUCGUUAGGCUAUUCCGUCGUUGUGGGAACAUCACAGAGCGCAUCUGCACAAACCCAGAUGGGACAGCCCGCGACACAGCUGGGCUGCAUGGUACCGAUCUUAUGGGACCUCCGUCAUCUAUGUGGUCUGUCGUUGACUAAAACGUUGUGAUGCAGCGCAUGACUAUACAUCUCGACUAACUCCUGUAUCUAGUUCUAUAAAUUGAAGGCGAGAGGUUGACAGUGAUGGCUCACUCCAUCCUCCCCUCUUUCCAUAUGUACAACCGCCCCCUCGGCCAGUGAGCACCUGGCUGCCCUGGUCCUCACGUACCUGCUAAGUUUCUCAGUCUGCUGUCAUCCCAUCGCCCUGGGGACACCCUCCUGUCCUGCUCAGCCUCGCUGCUGCCUCCGUGGGGGCGCCCCUCACCUCUCCCGCCUAGACGCGCUCCCCGACCCCACCUGAGCUCUCUCCCGGGCUGACUCCUGGAGCCGGCCCCCCCGAUGCCCGCACACCCCCCGGGGGGGCCUCAUCACCCACUGGGCCCUCGGCCCUGACCCUGCUCACAGCCACCGUGGCUCCCCCCUCUGCGCGGGGCCCACCUUGCUCCAUGGCGGGGAUGCUGCCGGGGGUCCGUCCGAGGGCCCCAGCUGACAGCUUUAGGGCUGAAUUGUUCCAGAAGGAAAAGGAAGGAAGGGGCAAAGGGGAGAGGAAGGAAGAGGUUUUCUCUGUUCCUCGCUUUAUCUUGGAAACUCCUGCCAAGGGCACACUGUGUCAAGAGCACGCUUCCUUUCACUUUCACGGGACCCACCCCCCUGUCCAUCCAGGUAGGAUUGCUGCCCCAGGAGGGGGCCUGUGGUUUCCAGGUUUGCAGGCACCUAGGCCUCCAGUGGGGGGGCUGGAAAGGGCGGGUGGGGCCUGGGGUGCCCUCGGGGCAGGCCUCCUCCCCUCCCCCUGCCCUGCCUUCCCAGACAAUGGGCCGCCUGCCACAGAGGAGGGAGAUAAGGGGCCCUGGGGAGGGCGGCUUCCCCCAGGAUGACCUGGGCGGGAGAGGCCACCAUGUCGUCUCCAGGGCCUCCGGGCCCCAUCUCUCCGCACUCACCUGAAAGGGAGGUGCUGAGGGCCAAGCCGGGGUCACCGGGGCAACGUGACUCCCUGUGUGUCGAGACGUGUGUCUGGGCCGGGACAUCGGCCCGCGGAGCCCAGGCGGCCACGUGGUGGGGGCCCGCCAGGUGUGGCUCGGCCCAGCGGAGGUGGCCCCAGAUGGCUUAGUUUAGGGGGGACCUCAAAUUUCUCAGGAAUUUUUAUAUUGAUUGCAUGUUGAAAUGAUCAUGUUUUGGACAUGCUAAGGGAUUAAAUAAAGUGUAUUAUUAAUAUUGGUUUCCCUUGUUUAUUUUUUACUCUGUUAAUGAGGCUGCUGGGACAUUUGAAGUUACGGCCGUGGCUGGAUUAGAACAUUUCCAGCCCUGGACGCCCCCUCAAGCCCUCCCCGGCCAGCAUCUCCCCAGAGGUCACUUGGCUGCUGUCCCCCUGGACCAGCCUGACCCCUCCGGGACGUCAGAGUUCACGUCUACCGCAACCUCAGAACGUGACCUUAUUUGAAAGGACCUGAUUUGUUACGGCAGCUACAGGACGCUCAUAUAUGGAGCCUGGGGGGAGCUCCCGGAGCACCACUCACCCAGGAACAGAGGGGAAACUGAGGCACUGGCAGCAGAUGGUGUCAAAAUUCUUCCCCCGAAACAGAAACUGCCUUCUGCACACUGCACACGUCUUCUGGGCCUGCUGCCCUCGUGGCCCUCAGAAUCUGGGGCUCCCAGGCCCUGCCCCCCAUGCUGAGUCAGCCUCCUGCACUCCGUCCCGUCCCGUCCUGUCCACACCUCUCUCUUCCCCCCAUCUCAGCCCCAGGCCGCCCCUCCCAUCCCUCUUCCACCAGACGGCAACUGGAGCAUGUCCCUCUCCUGCUCGAACCUUCCAUGGCUCCCUAGUGCUCUCAGGAGAAACCCCUGAGCUCAGCCCUGCAGAAGCUGACCUCUCCAACACCCUCUCCCCUCCCCGGCACCCCGCGUUGGUCUCCAGCUGGUCCCUGAACUCCUCCUCCUCUGCUGGCUCCAGCGGACGCAUUGCCUUUUCAGAACUUCCCCCACAAGCCCGUGAGGUGGGCAGUAUUGUACCCAUUUUACAGAUGAUGACAUUGAGGCUUGAGAGAGAAAGGAAGUUAGAGGAUGGACAAGGGCCUCAACCCGGGCGGCCGUGUGCUGCCCCACCGCCCCACCGCCCCCCUCGAGGACUGUUUCCUUGUCCACGUGCAAAAACAGCCCUCGGCAAAGAGCUGCUGGAAUCAAGGAGCCUGGAGUCUGUGAACUCGGAGGAGACAACAGUCACGUCCUGAUCGCCACUAACUGGAUCUAGCAUUUCCCUCCUUUGUGAAUGUGAGCAACGAACCCCAGGAGGGCCGGUGGCUUUGUCACAAAUGCAUCACUGGUGGCUUCAGACCCUACUACCUUUAUUGCAGAAAUUUCAGAAUAUCGUUCAGACUCACAUCACGGUAGUUCUUAAAUCCACCACUGGGUAUUUUUAUUUAAUGUAUUAAUAAGAAGCACAUAUAUUAACACAUCACAAUUAAACAAAGUGGACAACUUCA